rnacentral:lncRNA from 1 species
GCCACAUUUAUCUAAACUUUUAAUCAUUUAAUAACUGUUCCCACCUCUUACCAGUUCCUGGUUCCAAUUCGAGAAGAUCAGAUCGACUAUGUGAAUCCCUUUUAUCUAUGUGAUUAGCGUUAGUUUCUCAAACAUGUAUGUGUCGUUUUCUGUUCCCUCCGUACCAGAGACGAGUUCGGUUUCCAAAUUGUCGAUUAUAAGAGUUUUAGAUCUGCAGAAUUGAGUUCGUGUGAAGCAGAUCUGAGGUGAAUUUCCGGUGAUCCCGCCUCGUAUUGCGACCAGAAAAGGUGUAUAUGGCCAUUGCCUUUAGCAAUAACAAACAGUCCAGGCUAUGGAUGUUUUCACAACCUCUUCGGCUAAGAGCAUUCGGUUGAAGGUGGCUGGGUUUGGCGGGGCAAAACGGACCUGCAGAAGUAUCACUGGGUCACUCGUAAAGUGAACUACCUAACCUGGAGGGCUGUGUUGGGGUGUAUCGGUGCUAAAGAAGCUUUGACGUGAAGAGGUUUGGCUUUAGAUAACACUCUUUGCGGCAGGUGCGAGCUGGUAAUCGAAGAUGUGAAUCACAUUUUUGUCGAAUGUUUAUCGGCUAGAAGUGUGUGGUGGCAAAUCUGUAGAUGGAUUGAGGAUCAACCACUUUAUUUUGUCACCUGUAUUAUAUAUUUAUAUUGAGUGGAAUUGCUUAAUUUU